UACGGAAGGGGGCUAGCGUUGUUCGGAAUUACUGGGCGUAAAGGGCUCGUAGGCGGCCAACUAAGUCAGACGUGAAAUCCCUCGGCUUAACCGGGGAACUGCGUCUGAUACUGGAUGGCUUGAAUCCGGGAGAGGGAUGCGGAAUUCCAGGUGUAGCGGUGAAAUGCGUAGAUAUCUGGAGGAACACCGGUGGCGAAGGCGGCAUCCUGGACCGGCAUUGACGCUGAGGAGCGAAAGCCGGGGGAGCAAACGGG
rnacentral:rRNA from 1 species